AUUGAACGCUGGCGGCAUGCCUUACACAUGCAAGUCGAACGGUAACAGGCCGCAAGGUGCUGACGAGUGGCGAACGGGUGAGUAAUGCAUCGGAACGUGCCCAGUCGUGGGGGAUAACUGCUCGAAAGAGCAGCUAAUACCGCAUACGACCUGAGGGUGAAAGCGGGGGACCGUAAGGCCUCGCGCGACUGGAGCGGCCGAUGUCAGAUUAGCUAGUUGGUGGGGUAAAGGCCUACCAAGGCAACGAUCUGUAGUUGGUCUGAGAGGACGACCAGCCACACUGGGACUGAGACACGGCCCAGACUCCUACGGGAGGCAGCAGUGGGGAAUUUUGGACAAUGGGCGCAAGCCUGAUCCUGCAAUGCCGCGUGCAGGAAGAAGGCCUUCGGGUUGUAAACUGCUUUUGUCAGGGAAGAAAUCUUCUGGGCUAAUACCCCGGGAGGAUGACGGUACCUGAAGAAUAAGCACCGGCUAACUACGUGCCAGCCGCCGCAGUAACAC
rnacentral:rRNA from 1 species